CCUACGGGUGGCUGCAGUGAGGAAUAUUGGUCAAUGGACGAGAGUCUGAACCAGUCAAGUAGCGUGAAGGAUGACUGUCCUAUGGGUUGUAAACUUCUUUUAUAUGGGAAUAAAACGUUCCACGUGUGGGAUUUUGUAUGUACCCUAUGAAUAAGGAUCGGCUAACUCCGUGCCAGCAGCCGCGGUAAUACGGAGGAUCCGAGCGUUAUCCGGAUUUAUUGGGUUUAAAGGGAGCGUAGGUGGAUUGUUAAGUCAGUUGUGAAAGUUUGCGGCUCAACCGUAAAAUUGCAGUUGAAACUGGCAGUCUUGAGUACAGUAGAGGUGGGCGGAAUUCGUGGUGUAGCGGUGAAAUGCUUAGAUAUCACGAAGAACUCCGAUUGCGAAGGCAGUUCACUGGACUGCAACUGACACUGAGGCUCGAAAGUGUGGGUAUCAAACAGGAUUAGAUACCCUUGUAGUC
rnacentral:rRNA from 1 species